rnacentral:rRNA from 1 species
UACGGAGGGUGCGAGCGUUGUCCGGAAUCACUGGGCGUAAAGGGCGCGUAGGCGGCAUGCCAAGCGUGUGGUGAAAGCCCGGGGCUCAACCUGGGAAUUGCGCUUGAUACUGCGGCGCUGGAAGGUGGGAGAGGAUGGCGGAAGUUCCCAGUGUAGAGGUGAAAUGCGUAGAUAUCGGGAGGAACACCAGUGGCGAAGGGCGACUACCUGGCCUGUUUCUUGACGCUGAGCGCGAAAGCUAGGGGAGCAAACGGG